AAGCGUUGGCAACCAGACUCGCAUGCCGCUAAUCAUCCGGGGUUCUCCCCGGUGCACUUGGCGGCCUUCGGGCCAGCAUCGGUUUCGGUGGUGGGAUAAAGGCCUUGGGAAUGUAGCUUCUCUCGGGGAGUGUUAUAGCCCUCGGUGCAAUGCCGCCUACCGGGACCGAGGACCGCGCUUCGGCUAGGAUGCUGGCGUAAUGGUUGUCAACGG
rnacentral:rRNA from 1 species